rnacentral:rRNA from 1 species
GUUUACCAGCACGUUAUGGUGGGCACUCUAAGGAGACUGCCGGUGACAAACCGGAGGAAGGUGGGGAUGACGUCAAGUCAUCAUGGCCCUUACGGCCUGGGCUACACACGUGCUACAAUGGUCGGUACAAAGGGUUGCCAAGCCGCGAGGUGGAGCUAAUCCCAUAAAACCGAUCGUAGUCCGGAUCGCAGUCUGCAACUCGACUGCGUGAAGUCGGAAUCGCUAGUAAUCGUGAAUCAGAAUGUCACGGUGAAUACGUUCCCGGGCCUU